rnacentral:sRNA from 1 species
UUGUGUCCCCCAUAUCCCAAGGACUUUUCCACGGAGCCAUCAUGGAGAGUGGCGUGGCCCUCCUGCCUGGCCUCAUUGCCAGCUCAGGUGAUGUCAUCUCCACGGUGGUGGCCAACCUGUCUUCCUGUGACCAAGUUGACUCUGAGGCCCUGGUGGGCUGCCUGCGGGGCAAGAGUAAAGAGGAGAUUCUUGCAAUUAACAAGCCUUUCAAGAUGAUCCCCGGAGUGGUGGAUGGGAUCUUCCUGCCCAGGCACCCCCAGGAGCUGCUGGCCUCUGCCGACUUUCAACCUGUCCCCAGCAUCGUUGGUGUCAACAAUGAUGAGUUUGGCUGGGUCAUCCCCAAGGUGAGCCCCAACCCAAGCCCACAAGUGCCUGGGGAGCCCAUCUGGUAGUGGGGGGGUGUUCAGGGCUUCAUAGCUCCAGGCUCAUCCCAUCCCCAGCUACAGACUCUCUCC